rnacentral:rRNA from 1 species
UACGUAGGGUGCAAGCGUUGUCCGGAAUUAUUGGGCGUAAAGAGCUCGUAGGCGGUCUGUCGCGUCGGCUGUGAAAACUCGGGGCUCAACCCCGAGCCUGCAGUCGAUACGGGCAGACUAGAGUGCUGUAGGGGAGACUGGAAUUCCUGGUGUAGCGGUGAAAUGCGCAGAUAUCAGGAAGAACACCCGGUGGCGAAGGCGGCUCUCUGGGACGGUACUGACGGCUGAGACGCGAAAGCGUGGGGAGCGAACAGG